UUAAAUUGAAGAGUUUGAUCAUGGCUCAGAUUGAACGCUGGCGGCAGGCCUAACACAUGCAAGUCGAACGGUAACAGGAAACAGCUUGCUGUUUCGCUGACGAGUGGCGGACGGGUGAGUAAUGUCUGGGAAGCUGCCUGAUGGAGGGGGAUAACUACUGGAAACGGUAGCUAAUACCGCAUAAUGUCGCAAGACCAAAGAGGGGGACCUUCGGGCCUCUUGCCAUCGGAUGUGCCCAGAUGGGAUUAGCUAGUAGGUGGGGUAACGGCUCACCUAGGCGACGAUCCCUAGCUGGUCUGAGAGGAUGACCAGCCACACUGGAACUGAGACACGGUCCAGACUCCUACGGGAGGCAGCAGUGGGGAAUAUUGCACAAUGGGCGCAAGCCUGAUGCAGCCAUGCCGCGUGUAUGAAGAAGGCCUUCGGGUUGUAAAGUACUUUCAGCGGGGAGGAAGGGAGUAAAGUUAAUACCUUUGCUCAUUGACGUUACCCGCAGAAGAAGCACCGGCUAACUCCGUGCCAGCAGCCGCGGUAAUACGGAGGGUGCAAGCGUUAAUCGGAAUUACUGGGCGUAAAGCGCACGCAGGCGGUUUGUUAAGUCAGAUGUGAAAUCCCCGGGCUCAACCUGGGAACUGCAUCUGAUACUGGCAAGCUUGAGUCUCGUAGAGGGGGGUAGAAUUCCAGGUGUAGCGGUGAAAUGCGUAGAGAUCUGGAGGAAUACCGGUGGCGAAGGCGGCCCCCUGGACGAAGACUGACGCUCAGGUGCGAAAGCGUGGGGAGCAAACAGGAUUAGAUACCCUGGUAGUCCACGCCGUAAACGAUGUCGACUUGGAGGUUGUGCCCUUGAGGCGUGGCUUCCGGAGCUAACGCGUUAAGUCGACCGCCUGGGGAGUACGGCCGCAAGGUUAAAACUCAAAUGAAUUGACGGGGGCCCGCACAAGCGGUGGAGCAUGUGGUUUAAUUCGAUGCAACGCGAAGAACCUUACCUGGUCUUGACAUUCACAGAACUUUCCAGAGAUGGAUUGGUGCCUUCGGGAACUGUGAGACAGGUGCUGCAUGGCUGUCGUCAGCUCGUGUUGUGAAAUGUUGGGUUAAGUCCCGCAACGAGCGCAACCCUUAUCCUUUGUUGCCAGCGGUCCGGCCGGGAACUCAAAGGAGACUGCCAGUGAUAAACUGGAGGAAGGUGGGGAUGACGUCAAGUCAUCAUGGCCCUUACGACCAGGGCUACACACGUGCUACAAUGGCGCAUACAAAGAGAAGCGACCUCGCGAGAGCAAGCGGACCUCAUAAAGUGCGUCGUAGUCCGGAUUGGAGUCUGCAACUCGACUCCAUGAAGUCGGAAUCGCUAGUAAUCGUGGAUCAGAAUGCCACGGUGAAUACGUUCCCGGGCCUUGUACACACCGCCCGUCACACCAUGGGAGUGGGUUGCAAAAGAAGUAGGUAGCUUAACCUUCGGGAGGGCGCUUACCACUUUGUGAUUCAUGACUGGGGUGAAGUCGUAACAAGGUAACCGUAGGGGAACCUGCGGUUGGAUCACCUCCUUACCUUAAAGAAGC
rnacentral:rRNA from 1 species